UACGAAGGGGGCUAGCGUUGCUCGGAAUCACUGGGCGUAAAGCGCACGUAGGCGGAUUGUCAAGUCAGGGGUGAAAUCCUGGAGCUCAACUCCAGAACUGCCUUUGAUACUGGCGAUCUCGAGUCCGGGAGAGGUGAGUGGAACUGCGAGUGUAGAGGUGAAAUUCGUAGAUAUUCGCAAGAACACCAGUGGCGAAGGCGGCUCACUGGCCCGGUACUGACGCUGAGGUGCGAAAGCG
rnacentral:rRNA from 1 species